CGUGAGGGUGAUGAGUGGCACUAAUCAGCCGGGGUGUCCGCUGCAGUGGCAUCGACCCCCCGGCCCGAAUCCAACCUGAGGACACCCGCUGUGCACAGGGGCCAUCUGACCCACA